UUUUGAUGUUAAUUUUUUUGACCUGAGUAGUAUUAGUUAUGUUCUUGAAACUUAAAGAAUUUGGCGGUAUUUCAUUCUGUUCAGAGGAAUCUGCCUCGUUAUCGAUAAUCCGCGUUGGACCUUGCUUGAUUUAAUUUGUUUGUAUACCGCCGUUAUAAUGAGUAUCCUUUUAGGGUUUUUUAAUUUUCUUAUUCUAUGAUUUUAGUUUAUUUCAGGUCAAGGUGCAGCUUAUGGUCAAGUGUUUGGUGGAUUACAUUUAUUAAUUUAUUAUCGGAUCACUUGUUGUAAUUCUGGUGUGAAGUUGGAUUUGAUUGUAACUUAAUUAAAGUUUGUUUUGGUGAUUUAUGUUUUGAAAUAUGC
rnacentral:rRNA from 1 species